UACGAAGGGGGCUAGCGUUGCUCGGAUUGACUGGGCGUAAAGGGCGCGUAGGCGGUUUGCAUAGUCAGACGUGAAAUUCCUGGGCUUAACCUGGGGGCUGCGUUUGAUACAUGCAGGCUUGAGUUCGGAAGAGGGUCGUGGAAUUCCCAGUGUAGAGGUGAAAUUCGUAGAUAUUGGGAAGAACACCGGUGGCGAAGGCGGCGACCUGGUCCGAUACUGACGCUGAGGCGCGAAAGCUAGGGGAGCAAACGGG
rnacentral:rRNA from 1 species